AGUGAAACCACGCACUGAUCACACCAUCUCCCUCUCGAACCAUCGAGUCUCGACCCAGAGAGGGCUUUCCUCAGUGAGUCCUCCGUUCUUCGAUUCUCUUCCAGAUCCAAAGUCUCACCAAACUUUCUCACAACACACACAAUUUGAUUCGAUCCACACUCUUCAAAUCCCCAAAGAUCCCUCCGAUUUCAAAAUUCGAUUGUGAAAUUUCUCCACAGCUUUUUGGUUCAUGAUUUUGAUUUCGUGAAGGUCUUAUGGAUUCACACCCUUCCCAAAUGGGAAGGUCCAUUACCAAUUCGAACCGAUCGAGCUUAGAUCUUGGUCGUCCUUCUUCGUCUUCGUCUUCUUCUCCUUCACCGUUAACCAAAUCGAUCUCCGAUGCAAGUAGUCAAAGUCUCUCUUCGAUCCUUAACAAUCCACAUGGAGGUAAGUCUGGUGUUUAUGGUUCCGAUGCUUCUUGGGUUGGUUGGUGGUCUUCGUCUACGUUUGUAGCUCCGUCUGAGUUCGCGCCUGUUGCUUCAACGAAGCUACCGGGUUCGGAGCUUACCAGAUCCGACUUCCAUGGCUACGUUUCUUCGAUCUCUGAGUCUCAUGGUAGGUUUGAGGAUAUUAGGAAGCAUACGAGGGAAGAGAGCUCUGGGUUUGAUCAGGAGAGCCAUGUAUCGGGUUUAGCUGCGUGUUUGCGUGAGGUUCCUUCGCUUUACUUUAAGGAGGAUUUUGCUCUUGAGGACGGAGCUACAUUUCGUUCUGCUUGCCCUUUCUCGAGCUUGAAUGAGAAUCUAGCGCUUCAAGAGAAGUUGUCACAGUAUCUUGAUGUGGUGGAGCUGCAUCUUGUGAAGGAGAUAUCUGUUAGGUCCGAUUCGUUCUUUGAGGCUCAGGGGCAGUUACAGGAUUUGAAUGUGAAGAUUGUUGAGGGUUGUAGUAGGAUUCGUGAGUUGAAAGAGACUAUUCGGCUCUUGGACAGGAAUUUGGUAGAUUCAGCUCGACAGAUUCAAGAGCUGAGCUCAACUAGGAUUAAUAUGUUGGAGCUGCAACGUAAAUUGAGACUUAUUUUGUAUGUUAACCAAGCUCUCUCUGCACUCAAAUUGCUUGUUGCGUCCGCAGAUUGUGCUGGAGCUUUGGAUAUAACUGACGAUCUCCAAAACUUGUUGGCUGGGGAUGAGCUAACUGGUCUAUACUGCUUCCGCCAUCUUCGGGAUCAUGUUACUAGUUCCAUAGAUUCCAUAAACAGUAUUCUCACAUCAGAAUUCAUGCGUAUCUCCAUACAUGAUACUGGGGAGAUAGAUGUACUGAUUUUAUCUGCAGCAAAAAUACGGGGAUCCAUUUCAUCUAACGGGAAGACCGGUGAAGAAGUUAAGCUAGAGGAAGAGGAUACCUCUACCUUAUGUGAUCGGCUUCUUCCUCUAGUUAUUGGAUUGCUAAGAACGGCAAAGUUCCCUUCAGUUUUGAGGAUGUAUCGUGAUACACUCACAUCCGAAAUGAAAAAUGCAAUCAAGAAAGCAGUAGCUGAGCUGCUUCCCAUUCUUGUUGCAAGAUCGCUCGAAUCUGAUUUUUCACAUGGGGAGCGCUCUGUAGAUGUUGAUGGUGGUGGCUUAUCUCUCGCGAGCAAGUUGAGGACUCUGUCAUCUGAGGCAUUUGUUAAUCUCUUAACUGCUAUAUUUAAGAUUGUUCAGGCACAUCUAGUCCGGGCUUCGGAAGUGAAAAAAGCAAUUGAAUGGAUUCUCUGCAAUAUCGAUGGACAUUAUGCCGCUGAUUCAGUUGCAGCUGCAAUUGCUGUUGGUGCUGUAGCGGCCGAAACAGCUCAGGAAACAGGUUUCCAAGGUGGAUCAUUAAUGUCUUCUCCAUUGGGUAAGGCUACCUCAAAGGCCCCUCCAUUGCAGGGAAAAUUGAGUGACGCAUCAAGCUUGAUGAACAUGUCGAGAAACUUCAGGGCCGAUGUCUUGAGAGAAAACACUGAAGCUGUCUUUGCCGCUUGUGAGGUUACUCAUGGUAGGUGGGCAAAGCUACUAGGAGUUCGCUCUCUUCUUCAUCCAAAAUUGAAAUUGCCGGAGUUCAUGAGCAUUUAUGAUCUGACCCAAGAAUUUAUAACCGCUACGGAGAAGAUUGGUGGAAGGUUGGGAUCUAGUAUUCGUGGGACGCUGCAAUCACAAGCCAAAGCCUUUGUUGAUUCCCAGCAUGAAGCUCGGAUGACAAAACUAAAAGCUGUGCUUGAUCAAGAAACAUGGGAUGAGAUAGAUGUUCCUGAAGAAUUCCAAUCCAUAAUCAGUUCUCUUUUUGCAUCCCAACAGUUGAUUUCUGGGAAAGUUGAUGAUGCUGAUCUUAAAACAUAUCACAGUAAUCGGCUCCCUCUCAAUGGGUCUCUCACUUCUGGAACUGGGGAUCAAAAUACUGAAUUACGAAAUCAAAAAUCUGAAUCUAGUGAAGGUCCUGCAGUUAGUGAUGCACAAGUGAAAUCCACAGUCUCACCUGAGUCUCUUGAAAGAAGCAAGGCUGGUGUAUCUUCAGUUACGAAUAAUCAAAGUAAUCAGAAGGCCCACGGAAAAUCUAACCUUUUCUAUCAAGGAGUUGGUUACCACAUGGUAAACUGUGGGUUAAUAUUGCUCAAGAUGUUGUCAGAAUACAUUGAUAUGAACAAUUCUUUGCCAGCUCUGUCCUCGGAAAUUGUUCGUCGUGUUGUUGAAGUGUUGAGAUUUUUCAACACUCGGACAUGUCAACUUGUUCUGGGUGCUGGUGCUAUGCAGGUAUCUGGUUUGAAGUCCAUAAAGGCGAAACACUUGGCGCUUGCAAGUCAAGUAAUUGACUUCACUUACACUAUUAUUCCUGAAACCAGAAGAAUUCUGUUUUCAAAAGUACCUGAGACGAGAAAGCCUCUGUUGUCAGUAGAGAUGGAUAAAGUUGCUCAGGAUUAUAGAAUUCAUCGAGAUGAAAUAUACACAAAACUGGUUCAGAUUAUGAGAGAAAGACUAUUGGCGCAUCUUCAUGGUUUGCCCAAAGUUGUUGAGGGCUGGAACAGACCUCCAGACACCAAUAAACAAACUAAAGAGUUUGCAUGGCCACUCACAAGGGAAGUUGGAUACCUUCACCGUGUGUUGUCUGAGACAUUGCAUGAAGCCGAUGUUCAAGCAAUCUUCAGGCAAGUGAUUUCAGUUAUCCACACACAAACCUCUCAAACGCUUACAAACUUGGAGAUAAGCUCUCCAGAGGCAAAGAAAAGGCUGAAGCUUCAUGUUGAGCUAAUCCUCAAAUGUAUCCGGUCGUUACCAUCCGACAAUGCCAAUCAAUCAGGCAUCCCAAACUGGGGACAACUAGAUGAAUACUUUGAACAACACUUUAAAGAAGAAGAAGCAGGCGAAGCUGAGUGAUGAAGUCUUCAUUGUACAGCAAUUUGUUUCUUCUCACAUCCUUUUAUAAAGUCAAAAUUCAGAGUUUGGGUAUGAGGAUGGACUACUCCGCCCUGUAGAUUAACUUACAGGCAUAUUACAGUUCUUGGCUCGAAUGAACAUUAUAUCAAACUAUGGUUGUACCAAAAGUUCCGAAGCAAAUCGUAUCUCUAUAAAAGUAACUUUCUCUUCUUUUUUUUAGUUUGGAUUUUCUCAUUUACAUCACUUGUUGCUUCUCUUUUUUUUUUUUUUUCCUUAUUUUUCUUUUGUGAAAUGUAAGAGCUACGAGUGAUUGGAUAGGGAAGUUUUUGAAAGAGGUAAGCAGUAGAUUUAGAAGUAUAUAUUCUUCUCAGAGGGAGAAAAUCUUUAGUAUGCCUACUACUUCUUAGCAUUAUUAUAUUCAAUUUUAUUUUUAUU